rnacentral:lncRNA from 1 species
GGAGAAACAAAAUCCAAAAAGGAGAUAACAAAAUUUGACUCCUUGGCCCCCGGAUUUCCUCUGAGGCCCCCUUCAGAGCCCUUCAGACCAAGUCCCUUUCUCAAGACACAACUGCACUGGGGGCCGGGCUGAUGGAGUCAGCGUCGCCAGGGGCUGCAAGGCUCCGCUUUCGGACGUCCAGCCGGCUGGGCCUCCGCGUGGCCCUCCGCCCUCUGUCCGGGGAAGCUGUCCUCUGGAAGAACAAAACAGGCCUUCCAGAAUCAUGCUAACGAGAGGAGAAAAUAGGAUUAGGGAAAAGUAUCAGCAAGCCAGAAGACGCCAAGGGGAGUUUGUUCAACUCCCGCCAACAACCGCCGUUCGGGUUACGACUCAUUUACUCCUCGAAACUCUGCGUUCCCGGGUGCACAGGAGCGGAGAAGCCUUUGUUCGGCUGACAAAGACCUGGACGCCCGCCUGCCAGGACAGUCCAGGAGGAGUGGGGUCCCCGCACCCCUCUACAGGUUUAGGGGCUGCUGGGUUAGGGACACCUCCGCGGAUCCCGACCAUGUUCGUUUGGGGCCCCAAACUGUUCCCUUGAGCCUUCCAGAGCCCUGCAGAACCCUAGCAGAAAGUACCUAGCCUGCCCGAAACAGGGCCGUCCGCGGGGCUUGGAGGUGUGUGCAUCCUUCCGGGACUGUGGGGAAAGGGGAGCCGAUUUAUUUUAUUAAAGUUUUCCAGACACUCACUGAGGUGGAUAGGUGACUGUCUCCCCUGCACCCUUGAGGAACUCAGGCCGCGCAGCUAGGGGCUGAAUUUGAGCAAGACUUGGCCUCCAGAAUUGCUCCUUUGCUGAUGCCCUCAGGGACCCCUCACAACCGAGCCUGCUCGGCCGGGUCUCAGGCUGCUGGCCUGGGACAUGACGAUGACCUGUCCACCCUGCUGACUUCAUCGUGGACUGAAGCCCAGAUUCUGCAGAAGGAGAACCGUCCUAGCCUAUGAGGUUCGCCCGGGGUGGGUCAGACAGGAUGUGGGUGAGUGCAGUGGUCCUGACCAUUCCCCUUGGAGCAGUGGGGCCCCCCUAAGACAGCACUUUGCACCUUGGUAGCUUUCAAUUAUUGAUGUCAUCAGAGAAUCUCAGUUGGGGAGUUUCAGAGCUGGGGUGGUUAGAGGGAGGGUGAGGUGGGGUCUUGUGGGUGAAGCCAUCUAGACUCCAGGGUUUCGGUGUCUGUGACCAACAGGUUUUAUUAAGUUCCUGCCAUGGGUCCAAUAUUACACUUGGCACACUGUGGAGGGGGGGUGCAGGGUGAUGGGGGGAAGCCCCCAUGCUUGUUCCAGCUUCUGUGUUCCCAGAGGAGGUGCCCCCCACCCCCACGAGCCUCCUAGUCACAACUGGACACAAACAGCCCCACCAUCUGCCCGGAACCGCCCUGACAGGCCUGCCUGCGUCGCGCAUCCGCGGCUUCUUCUCGUGUCUGGCCCGGUGAAGCGGCAGCUGCCCGGCUGCAGCGUUGCCUGUGCGUACCGGUGAGUGAGGGACUGGUGAGGGGCCGGUGUUUCU